CCUUGCAUAUAUGACACUGGUAGCUCUUCUCAUAGCAUUUGCCGCACAGACUAUGCCCAUCCACGCAGAGGUGGAUGGGUGGUCUCAUGUAAGUGUUACAUUUGGUACAAGUCAACUCCUUGAUCAGGCCUCCGUAGUGAUCCGUCUCGAGCAAUGUGUUGAGAACUACUGAAAA
rnacentral:lncRNA from 1 species